rnacentral:rRNA from 1 species
GGCCUGUGAGGGUUGCUGGAGGUAUCAGAAGUGCGAAUGCUGACAUAAGUAACGAUAAAGCGGGUGAAAAGCCCGCUCGCCGGAAGACCAAGGGUUCCUGUCCAACGUUAAUCGGGGCAGGGUGAGUCGACCCCUAAGGCGAGGCCGAAAGGCGUAGUCGAUGGGAAACGGGUUAAUAUUCCCGUACUUGGUGUUACUGCGAAGGGGGGACGGAGAAGGCUAUGUUGGCCGGGCGACGGUUGUCCCGGUUUAAGCGUGUAGGUGUGUGUUCCAGGUAAAUCCGGUUCACUUUAACACUGAGGCGUGACGACGAGGCACUACGGUGCUGAAGCAACAAAUGCCCUGCUUCCAGGAAAAGCCUCUAAGCAUCAGGUAACAUCAAAUCGUACCCCAAACCGACACAGGUGGUCAGGUAGAGAAUACCAAGGCGCUUGAGAGAACUCGGGUGAAGGAACUAGGCAAAAUGGUGCCGUAACUUCGGGAGAAGGCACGCUGACAUGUAGGUGAAGUGAUUUACUCAUGGAGCUGAAGUCAGUCGAAGAUACCAGCUGGCUGCAACUGUUUAUUAAAAACACAGCACUGUGCAAACACGAAAGUGGACGUAUACGGUGUGACGCCUGCCCGGUGCCGGAAGGUUAAUUGAUGGGGUCAGCGCAAGCGAAGCUCCUGAUCGAAGCCCCGGUAAACGGCGGCCGUAACUAUAACGGUCCUAAGGUAGCGAAAUUCCUUGUCGGGUAAGUUCCGACCUGCACGAAUGGCGUAAUGAUGGCCAGGCUGUCUCCACCCGAGACUCAGUGAAAUUGAACUCGCUGUGAAGAUGCAGUGUACCCGCGGCAAGACGGAAAGACCCCGUGAACCUUUACUAUAGCUUGACACUGAACAUUGAGCCUUGAUGUGUAGGAUAGGUGGGAGGCUUUGAAGUGUGGACGCCAGUCUGCAUGGAGCCGACCUUGAAAUACCACCCUUUAAUGUUUGAUGUUCUAACGUGGACCCGUUAUCCGGGUUGCGGACAGUGUCUGGUGGGUAGUUUGACUGGGGCGGUCUCCUCCUAAAGAGUAACGGAGGAGCACGAAGGUUGGCUAAUCCUGGUCGGACAUCAGGAGGUUAGUGCAAUGGCAUAAGCCAGCUUGACUGCGAGCGUGACGGCGCGAGCAGGUGCGAAAGCAGGUCAUAGUGAUCCGGUGGUUCUGAAUGGAAGGGCCAUCGCUCAACGGAUAAAAGGUACUCCGGGGAUAACAGGCUGAUACCGCCCAAGAGUUCAUAUCGACGGCGGUGUUUGGCACCUCGAUGUCGGCUCAUCACAUCCUGGGGCUGAAGUAGGUCCCAAGGGUAUGGCUGUUCGCCAUUUAAAGUGGUACGCGAGCUGGGUUUAGAACGUCGUGAGACAGUUCGGUCCCUAUCUGCCGUGGGCGCUGGAGAACUGAGGGGGGCUGCUCCUAGUACGAGAGGACCGGAGUGGACGCAUCACUGGUGUUCGGGUUGUCAUGCCAAUGGCACUGCCCGGUAGCUAAAUGCGGAAGAGAUAAGUGCUGAAAGCAUCUAAGCACGAAACUUGCCCCGAGAUGAGUUCUCCCUGAGACUUAGAGUCUCCUGAAGGAACGUUGAAGACGACGACGUUGAUAGGCCGGGUGUGUAAGCGCAGCGAUGCGUUGAGCUAACCGGUACUAAUGAACCGUGAGGCUUAACCUUACAACGCCGAAG